GACGAACGCUGGCGGCGUGCUUAACACAUGCAAGUCGAACGGAAAGGCCCUGCUUUUGUGGGGUGCUCGAGUGGCGAACGGGUGAGUAACACGUGAGUAACCUGCCCUUGACUUUGGGAUAACUUCAGGAAACUGGGGCUAAUACCGGAUAGGAGCUCCUGCUGCAUGGUGGUGGUUGGAAAGUUUCGGCGGUUGGGGAUGGACUCGCGGCUUAUCAGCUUGUUGGUGGGGUAGUGGCUUACCAAGGCUUUGACGGGUAGCCGGCCUGGGAGGGUGACCGGCCACAUUGGGACUGAGAUACGGCCCAGACUGCUACGGGAGGCAGCAGUGGGGAAUAUUGCACAAUGGGCGGAAGCCUGAUGCAGCAACGCCGCGUGCGGGAUGACGGCCUUCGGGUUGUAAGCCGCUUUCGCCUGUGACGAAGCGUGAGUGACGGUAAUGGGUAAAGAAGCACCGGCUAACUACGUG
rnacentral:rRNA from 1 species